rnacentral:rRNA from 1 species
GUGGGGAAUAUUGGACAAUGGGCGAAAGCCUGAUCCAGCAAUGCCGCGUGAGUGAUGAAGGCCCUAGGGUUGUAAAGCUCUUUUACCCGGGAUGAUAAUGACAGUACCGGGAGAAUAAGCUCCGGCUAACUUCGUGCCAGCAGCCGCGGUAAUACGAGGGGAGCUAGCGUUGUUCGGAAUUACUGGGCGUAAAGCGCGCGUAGGCGGUUUUUUAAGUCAGAGGUGAAAGCCAGGGGCGCAAACCCGGAAUAGCCUUUGAAACUGGAAAACUAGAAUCUUGGAGAGGUCAGUGGAAUUCCGAGUGUAGAGGUGAAAUUCGUAGAUAUUCGGAAGAACACCAGUGGCGAAGGCGACUGACUGGACAAGUAUUGACGCUGAGGUGCGAAAGCGUGGGGAGCAAACAGGAUUAGAUACCCGUGUAGUCC